UCUUGGUAAACAAAUGGUCCGUAUUUCGCCAACUCAGCAUUUUCCCAUUUUCAUUUUUCUACUCUUAAUUUUCUCCCCCCUUAUAAAUCAAGAAACUUCCAUUAAUUAAACACAGAAAAUAUCGGCAAUUAUUUCCAAUUCUUGAACCAGUUUUAGUUUUGAUUCUUUUUGGUGAUGGCUCAAUUGCUGUCACCAGUGUGUACAAAUACUCUCAAAUUUAAGUUUCCUGUACAGGGUUUCAGUUCAAGAAAUAGACUGCCCUUGUUUCGUGUGAAUUGGAGUAAUCAUGGUAGAAGAAAAAAAUUGGGCCGAGUCAGAGUUGCUUCCCAGUACUCAGAAUCAUAUGAAGAGAUUGCUGAUGAUUAUUAUUCUGUUUUGGGUCUGCUUCCAGAUGCCUCACCAGAGCAGAUUAAGAAAGCAUAUUAUAAUUGCAUGAAAGCUUGCCAUCCCGACCUGAGUGGCAAUAAUCCAGAGACCACUAAUUUCUGCAUGUUUAUUAAUGAGGUUUAUACGGUUCUCAGUGAUCCUGUUCAGCGAAUGAUUUAUGAUGAAAUACACGGGUAUGCUUUGACAGCAAUCAACCCUUUUUUGGAUGAUUCCAUCCCGAAGGAUCAUGUAUUCGUUGACGAGUUUAGCUGCAUAGGCUGCAAGAAUUGUGCCAAUGUUUGCCCAAAUGUUUUUGCCAUCGAGGAAGACUUUGGCAGAGCCAGAGUUUAUAGCCAGUUGGGAAACCUCGAAUCAGUCCAAGAUGCAGUUGAUAGCUGUCCAGUUGAUUGCAUUCAUUGGACUUCUGCUCCUCAGCUUUCAUUGCUUGAAGAUGAAAUGCGAAGAGUGGAACGAGUUAAUGUUGCAUUGAUGCUCUCAGGGAUGGGCUCAGCAUCCAUGGAUGUCUUCCGCCUGGCCGAUGAUAAAAUGUUUCAGCUGGCACGGUCACGGACUGGCAACCCUCUUUUACGCUGGGCUCAUAGGCAAGUUCUAGAUGGGAAAAAAGACAAAGCAAAGUCUUGCGACAAGCUAAAGUGAGGAUGAUGAAGCAGAAAGGUUCUGAUAAAAACAAAUCAUAUUGGAGCAACCUUUCGGGCAAUGUGAAAGACUAUGAAAAUACCGAGGAAGAAAAGAAAGAGAGGGCACAACGAGCUGCAGCUGCUGCUCGAAGAUGGAGAGAGUAUUCGAGAAGGGGUGCAGACAAACCCCCAACCUACAAACUUCCCGAGGCAGUCUCUAACAAGGACAAGUGAACAAAUAUUUGCAAUAUACAUGUAAAUAUAAUUUGUUGAAGACGUGAUAAGUGCAUUCUUACAAUAUGUAUUACAUCUAAAUUUGUAUAAAAGCUACCAAAUGUGUAAUUUGGACCGUUCAAAACUGAACAAGAUUAAUGAAACACAAGAAAGGAAUAUUCUAGUGAAGAAAAA